rfam:Camelus ferus unplaced genomic scaffold scaffold83, whole genome shotgun sequence.
GGAAGCAUACAGCUCAGUGGUAGAGCGCAUGCUUAGCAAGCAUGAAGUCCCGGGUUCAAGCCCCAGUACCUCCA